rnacentral:rRNA from 1 species
UGCGUAGGUGGGCUAGUAAGUCCGUGGUGAAAUCCCUGAGCUUAACUUGGGAACUGCCAUUGAUACUAUUAGUCUUGAAUAUCGUGGAGGUAAGCGGAAUAUGUCAUGUAGCGGUGAAAUGCUUAGAUAUGACAUAGAACACCAAUUGCGAAGGCAGCUUGCUACACGGUCAUUGACACUGAGGCACGAAAGCGUGGGGAGCAAACAGGAUUAGAUACCCUGGUAGUCCACGCCCUAAACUAUGGAUACUCGACAUCAGCGAUACACAGUUGGUGUCUGAGCGAAAGCAUUAAGUAUCCCACCUGGGAAGUACGAUCGCAAGAUUGAA